UUUAUUUGACAAAUAAGUAAUAAAAAUAAAGAAAAGAAAAUAUCAUCUUUUCUUCAUCUUCUCUCCACCGGAAAAAAUGGCAGCAAAGAAAGGGUUUAGAAGUUAGAAACUUUCAGCAAAGAAACUCCCUUUAUAAUGAUGAAAAUCGAGAUUUGGACCUAGAACGGAAAGAAAUCGAUUAAGGGAUAAUUACGUUUUUUUUUCACCUUUGUGGUAUCGAGAGUUUCCAGGUUAGCUCGGGUUGGAGGCCGUCAGAGAUAUUAUCACACUGUCAAGCUAACGCUAUUGGUGUAGUGAUUUCAAGUACUUUGAGCCUAUGGAAUGUAUAGGAGUUUAAAUAUUAGAGUAUGUGAUAUGGCUUUAACCAUAUGUGUUGGCCUAUUUGGAUUAUGGGGUUGUAAAUCUAUUUUAAUUAUGCAUGCAUGUGCUAUGGUAUUAUGUGAUGAGUUUAUAAUGAUUAUAGUAUGAAUGUGGUAAAGAUGUGAGUAAAA